rnacentral:rRNA from 1 species
CACGCCCUAAACUAUGAAUACUAGUUGUCUGAAGUAUCGACCCUUCAGGUGACGAAGCAAACGCGUUAAGUAUUCCGCCUGGGAAGUACGGUCGCAAGACUAAAACUCAAAGGAAUAGACGGGAGCUUGCACAAGCGGUGGAGCGUCUGGUUUAAUUCGACGACAAGCGUAGAACCUUACCAAGAUUUGAAAUUCUAAUGACAGUUCUGAGAAACCAGAAUUUUCUACAAGGACAUUAGAACAGGUGC